ACGCUUCAGCAGCAUAUAUGCUAAAAUGGGAAUGAUACAGAGAAGAUUAGCAGGCCUCUGGGCAAGGAUGACAUGCAAAUUCAUGAAGCAUUUCAUAUUUUU
ensembl:snRNA U6 U6 spliceosomal RNA